AGCAGGCUCCCUGCUGAGCAGAGAGCCUGAUGUGGGGCUCCAUCCCAGGACCCUGAGAUCUUGACCUGAGCUGAAUGAAAGCGGAUGCUUAGCCCACUGAGCCACCCAGGUGCCCCAAUAGUGCUUUAGUUUUUAAAAUGCUUUCUUCCCCAGCGGUUUUCCCCACCACUUAUUUGCUUUUGGAUAGCGGCAUGGGCUGCUUGGCGCCGCUCUCUCCCCAUCAGUCUAGGAACGUGUAGGUCCCUGUCUAGGGCCAGACCUGUAACCGGCACCGGGGGGGCCAUUGAAGCAGCUGGGAGAGGCGGUUGUUCGGAGGGGUGAAGAUAGCCCUGCGACCAUGCCGAGCUCGGAAGAAAACCAAGUGGGGAGGGGGUACUGGUCAGCUCUCGGUUUCCAGGCUCCUUCUCCAUCUCCGGGAGGGGACUCCCUGUCAACGAGGCUUGCGCGCCCCCUGCUGGCAGGUCUGCUGGCACUGCACCUUGGGCUUCGGAGACUCCCAGCCCCUGUAACCAAUGUCCAUAAAAGGUGGGGUAUCCAAACUGGGAGGACCCUCAGAGAUCAUCCACCCAUGCCUUACCGAUGAGACAGGAGGCCCUGUGUAGGGUAGGGAGCUGGCACAGCGCAGGAAUUCGGGGCCCUGGAUCGGAGGCGAGGCUCUGUCAAUGCCUCGGGCUGGGAGAUGAAAGAACUGAGGCUCAGAGGAGUAAGUUACGUGCCCCGUGAUGACCCUGGCUUUCAGGCAAUCUGUUUGGAUGAUCGGCGACCCCUUGCUGGGGCCAGGACCUCACUCCAGUGUGCUUUCCCUGGGAUGUCCCCACUUGUACUGUCAAAGGCCACAUCCCUCCUGGAGUUAUGUUAUCACCUGCAUCUUGAGGAAUCACUGUUGCCUUGGAAACUAGGAUGGUCUGAGCUGGACCGGUGAUUGUAGGUCAUCUUGUUCUACGCCCUUAGCUAAGGGCUAGAUAGAGACUCUCAGUUGGUGGGGACCUGGUCAGGGUCACACGUUGACCCUAUGACAGUUUUGAGUGCAGACUCUGAUGACCUCUUUGGUUGGCCAUUGGAGGAAGGAGCAGCCCUGGUUACCCUAAGUACCCUAAGGGAGUUGGGGAGUCUGCCCUUCUUCUGGUCUCUUUUCUCUGGGCUGUCCUGGUUUUCAGAAUGGUAGAGCCCAGGCUCCAGAAGGGGACUCCUAUCUGACCUCACCUGUGCCAAUCCGGCCAGGCCUUGGCUUCCUUCAGCUCUAACCGGAAGUGGCAGGCUUUGAGGGGAAUCCAUCCACCUUCCCAUGUUAUAGCCCUUGCUGCACCUGUCACUACCCGAGCCGGGGGUUGGGGGGGCGGGUAGUGUGGCACACUGGAGCCACUGGUGGCUUUGGAGCCAUACAGGGGACUUGCUCUAUCAUCCUGGGCAAAUCACUUUGCCUCUCGGAGCCUUAGUUUCUUUAUCUGUAAAAUGGGGAUAAUAAUAGGACCCACUUCAUAAAGGUCUUGGAAAGAUUAGUAGUAGCAAUGGUACCCAUGGCGGCUGCCAGGCUGUGGGCAUUUACUGUGUGCUGGUUGCUGCCUCCCGGUCACUAUCCCUGAGGCAUUACGAGGCAGUUACUGCUAGCAUCCCCUCUUUACAGAGGAGGGAACUGAGGCUCGGAGGGGUUAAAUGGUUUGCUCCACUAGUAAGCAGUAGCGCCUGGAUUCCAGCCCAGGUCUGUUCGACUCCAAAGCCCUGAAUACAUAACCCAGGAGGGUUAUUCAAUAUAUUCAACAAUUGGCCUGGCCUGGGGACUCCAAGCCAUCAGAAUGGAUGCCGGCCAUAAGUAAGCAAGCUGUAUGUUCCCCCUGUCUCGCCGUAUCCAUUACACACUCGACUGCGUUAAAUGGGAUUAAUCCAGGAAAUGAGAUUACAGAUGUCAAGCAGCUUGGAGAACCCCAAAGCUCUCCAUAGCAUGGGAUUCUGUUCCUUCUUACGCUGUGGGGAAGAGGCCUGUGAAUCAGGAGACCCGGGCUGAACUCCUGGCUCUGCUGAACAGCCUCUGUUGAGUCUUGGAAGACCAUUUCCAGAAACAGAGAUUAACUAGGGGGAAACGGGCUAAGUUUAGCAGGUGCUCCGAGAGCGUUGGUCAGGCACGUUCAUGUGCUACCAGGCACGGGGUCUGUCCAAACAGACCCAGGAGGUCCUCAGCCUGGCCCCCGUGUGCUGUGUCACUCAGUCAAGGGAUUUGCAUGUUAGUUUUUAAAAAACAACUUAAAAUACAUUGUAUAUAUUUUUAAAAAAUAUUUAUGUAUUUAUUAGAGAGAGAGAUUGCAUGGUGGAGAGGAGAAGAGGGAGAAUGAGAACCUGUGAAUCUCAAGUAGGCUCCCAGCCAAGUGCAGAGCCCGACACGGGCUGGGAUCUCGAGAUCCUGAGAUCACGACAUGAGCCAAAGUCAAGAGUUGGAGGCUUGGGGCGCCUGAGUGGCUCAGUGGGUUAAAGCCUCUGCCUUCGGCUCAGGUCAUGAUUCCAGGGUCCUGGGAUGGAGCCCCGCAUCGGGCUCUCUGCUCAGUGGGGAACCUGCUUCCCCCCUCUCUCUGCCUGCCUCUCUGCCUACUUGUGACCUCUUUCUCUCUCUCUGUCAAAUGAAUAAGGGAUAUAUUUAAAAAAAAAAAAAAAGAGUCGGAUGCUUAACUGAAUGAGCCACCAGGUGCCCCAACACUGUACACAUUUACGGUACGAAAUUGGCUCAUAUUUAAAGUAUUUGAUCUGCUUUCAACAGGUGUAGACACCAGUGGGAACACCACCACAGUCACUAUGUAACAUAGCUGGCACUUCUCAAAGUUCUCUCGUUCCCCUCAACCCCCUGCCUCUCCCUCCACACCCCUUCUCUGGCACACAGUGCUCUGUUUUCCAUCACUAUAGGUCCCUUUGCCUCUUCUAGAAGUUUCUAUAAUGAAUGAAAGAAAUCACACCAUAUGUAGGCUUUUGUGUCUGGCUUCCUUCCUUCCUUCCUCCUCGAGAUUCAUCCGUAUAGUCCUGUGUGUUGCUGAAUACUGUUCUCUUGUAUGUAUGAAUCACAGUUGGUUUGUCUUCCCAUUCACCUCUGGAUGGCUGUUUCAUUUUUUUACCCCCAGUUUUUGGCCAUUAUAAAUAAAGCUCUUAGGAACAUUUA